rnacentral:piRNA from 1 species
UGUCAGAAGGAAUUUUAAGGCACAGU